UCCCAUAAAGAAUCUCAACCUUUAAACUUUGAUCAACUCCUCUAAUCUUAAUUAUGAGAUCAACUCCUUAAUCUACAGCAUUCUUCUUCUUCUCCUCGAUCUACAAUCUCCAAGUCACCAACUCAUCUUUUGGGUAUAUGGAAGAGAGCCACCCAACUUUUGGGUGUGAAAAGGAAGAGAGGGAGGAGAGGAGGUGUGGAGAAGGGAGAGAGAAUUUUUCUUGAUCAAAAAUUCAACCACCU
rnacentral:lncRNA from 1 species